GUUUAGACCGUCGUGAGACAGGUUUGUUGCUUUUUGGUGGAAGUGUAUUGAUGCCUGACGAGAAGGACCCUUGAGUACGAGAGGAACGGGGGUUCGGUGCCUCUAGUCAAUCAGUUGUCCGACAGGGCAUGCUGAGCAGCCACGCACUACUGGAUAAGAGCUGAAAGCAUCUAAGCUCGAAGCCACCUUGAAAAAGAGGCAUCUUAGGGCGCUCAUAAUUGAUGAGCUUGAUAGAAUCGGGAUGU
rnacentral:rRNA from 1 species